rnacentral:rRNA from 1 species
AUUGAACGCUGGCGGCAGACCUAACACAUGCAAGUCGAGCGAGCGGCGGACGGGUGAGUAAUGUCUGGGAAACUGCCUGAUGGAGGGGGAUAACUACUGGAAACGGUAGCUAAUACCGCAUACCAUCAGAUGUGCCCAGAUGGGAUUAGCUAGUAGGUGGGGUAACGGCUCACCUUGGCGACGCUCCCUAGCUGGUCUGAGAGGAUGACCAGCAACACGGGAACUGAGACACGGUCCAGACUCCUACGGGAGGCAGCAGUGGGGAAUAUUGGACAAGGGGCGCAAGCCUGAUGCAGACAUGCCGCGGGUGUGAAGAAGGCCUUCGGGUUGUAAAGCACUUUCAGCGGGGAGGCGUUACCGGAAGAAGAAGCACCGGCUAACUCCGUGCCAGCAGCCGCAGUAAUAC